GAUGAAGAACGUAGCGAAAUGCGAUAAGUAAUGUGAAUUGCAGAAUUCAGUGAAUCAUCGAAUCUUUGAACGCACCUUGCGCCCUUUGGCCAUUCCGAAGGGCAUGCCUGUUUGAGUAUCAUGAACACCUCAACUCUCAUGGCUUGCCAUGAUGAGCUUGGACUUUGGGGGUCUUGCUGGCCUGUGGUCGGCUCCUCUCAAAUGAAUCAGCUUGCCAGUGUUUGGUGGCAUCACAAGUGUGAUAACUAUCUGCGCUCGUGGUUUCCAUCAGAUAACCUCCAGUGAUGGAGGUUCGCUGGAGCUCAUAAAUGUCUCUCCUAAGCGAGGACAGCUCUUUUAAUGUUUGAUCUCAAAUCAGGUAGGGCUACCCGCUGAACUUAAGCAUAUCAAUAAGCGGAGGA
rnacentral:misc_RNA from 1 species